rnacentral:tRNA from 5 species
GCGGAGAUGGCGGAAUGGCAGACGCGCUAGAUUCAGGUUCUAGUGGUGGCAACACUGUGAGGGUUCAAGUCCCUUUCUCCGCA